UGGAUGUAUGGCAUAGUGGCACUUGUAUUACGGUGCAUAUGUGUCGGAGCAUGUGUACAUAUAGAAGUUGCUUAUGAAAAUGAGAGCACGUCAGUCUCUCCCAUUCUUCCUUUAUGGCAGCACCUUGAGGUGCUUUGUUAGACUGCACCACUUCCAGGAUUCGCUUACAUUUCCAAGUGCCUUCACUGUAGCAGGUAGCACAACAUGGACACUGUGCAACAUUGCUGUAAUGUUUCUUCACUGGAGUACAAAAGGAAAUGCAGGUCUAACGUACAUGUCAGAAUCUAUGUAAAGCGGUUAAUCAGAAUCUAUGAAACAUGUAUAUCUCAUGCAUUGUUGCAGUCCAGAUGAUGGAAAGCGUAUUUGCCUUGGCGAGCUAGCAGUAGCACAUGUCACUAGCAUGUUAUGUAGGGAAGCCACCUCAUCGCCUGUAGCUAUUGUCUGUGCAGUGAGGAUGAAUGUUAUAUGUGCUUGUUGAGUGGAGAACGUUGACAAGAAGACCCGCCAUGGUUGCUCAGUGGCUAUGGUGUUGGGCUGCUGAGCACGAGGUCGCGGGAUCGAAUCCCGGCCACGGCGGCCGCAUUUGGAUGGGGGCUAAAUGCGAAAACACCCGUGUACUUAGAUUUAGGUGCACGUUAAAGAACCCCAGGUGGUCAAAAUUUCCGGAGUCCUCCACUACGGCGUGCCUCAUAAUCAGAAAGUGGUUUUGGCACGUAAAACCCCAUAAUUUAACGUUGACAAGAAGUGUUUGCACAGAGAAGUACUGCACUUAUCUUAAUACUACAUAUAAGGCUUGUAUACUUCUUGUGUUCCAGUGACACAUACCCAUUCUUGGAGAUGGGCCAAGAAUAGGCACAUACCCAUUUGCACAUACUGCAUAAGCCAGGUUUUCCACUCGGCAAAACAGCAGCCACCACAAAGUAGGUGGGAAGAGGCAAAGAAAGCUUAAUCUUAUGACCAUGCCUUUGCCUCCGUACUCUUCUCAUAAAGCUUGCGUCAUACAUGCAAUCACUCACCAUAAACAAACACAUUGUUCAGCACUGCAAUGUUUGAUAGAACCUGAACCAACGCUACAUAGCCAUUUGCCUGCAGAAUGCUUCCUGUAACAUAAAUCUGCACAGUGUUUGGGAUUUAUAUAAUUUUUAAAUUUUCUCGGGCAUUUGGUGGUAGAGGCCAGUGCAUUAGACAGAAAUCCCACUACAUUGCAGCAAUGUUCAGAAUGUAGUAUGAGGUACUCUAUUUGGCUGUAAGUUCCAGAUGUAAGCAUGCAGUAUUGAAACUACACAUGCUCUCAAGGCUGAGCCACAUCAUGCAAACACAGAAGAGCAGACACACAUGGUGGUCUCUUGAGCUGGCAUCUCUGUGUAUCUUUACCAACAAGCCCAGCUGUAUACUGAAGUAAGGCAUGUUGUUGGGCUAGUCAAUUCAUAGCUUCAGCGAGGAAGACAGAAUGUGAACAGAAACAUAGAUGCACACACAAAGUGCAGACUUGCAACUGGAUUUAUUUGUGAAGGCAGGAAAUUUAUCGGGUUCUUCAAAAUAGCAAAACAAGGAACAAUUGCAAAGAAAUCAUGCACGAGGCAGCAAUGAAAAAUAGCAAGACCACAUGUGCAUUAAGAGUGCAGGAGAGUCCCAAUAUGCCCACCUAAAAAUUAUAUUACUUAAUGAUCCCCUUUGAGUUAAAUAAAUGUCCUUGUGUGAAAAUUGGUAAGCAGGAGCCGCGGAGCCAGCGAAACGGAAGAAGCAGGUACGUCCGACGCACCUUCAGACACAGCGUGUAAUCUCGGGUGUGCUCCUGAAGCCUCCGUUUGCUGGUGACAUGUGUCCUGCUGGAGCAGUACUUGUAAAAAAAUCCAAUCUAUCGUAGCAACGAAAAAGGCAUCCCGCAACAAAAAGCACCCCGCGACUUCUACAGCACCAGUCAGAACCAUGCCUUCAUCACUGUGUGUGUGCUGUAUUAAACGAUUGCAUAAAUAACACUCGCAGGCUGCUACUACAGACGGAAAAUCAGCGAAGCCACAAAAAUAUUGCAUAGCACCUGUCUUCACUCGAGGUCGCAUUUGAAAUUCUGUAGGUGGCUAUAGGAAUGACCCAACGCAAGCUAAUAUGCUGCCGCACUCUAUCAGGCAAUAUAACUGCCAAGUGCUCAUGCCAAACUGUGCAACCCAGGCACUGGGCUACGGUGAUCUCUAAGAGACCAUCAGGACCAUUGUGCGCGUGGAGCUGUGCAAGAUGUUUCCUUCAUCGCAACCUCAGGUGACCUCGGUCACUGACAUUGUCAAAGACAAACUUCGACGGUCACUGGGUGUUUUCGAAGUGCAGCAAGAAUUGCUGCCUCCCAUGCCGGAAGCAAUGACCUACGCCGCCGUCGCCCACCGUAAAGCAUCGCAUAAUAACCGAAGAGUGUGCUCGACCGCUCCGCCAGAGCCCUUACUGAGUUUCAGCAUGAGGAUGUAAAGCUAUGAGGCAACAAGUUGACGAAAUGCUGCGCAACGACAUCAUCGAGCUGUCGAAAAGCCCAUGGGCAUCUCCUGUGGUCUUGGUGAAGAAAAAGGACGGAACCCUACGUUUCUGCGUAGAUUAUCAUCGAUUCAGCAAGAUCAUGAAGAAGGAUGUAUACCCCCUCCCAUGAAUAGACGAUGCAUUGAAUAGGCUAUGCAACGCAAAAUACUUCUCGUCGAUGGAUCUCAAGACUGGCUACUGACAAAUAGAAGUCGACAAGAGGGAUCAAGAAAAAACCAACUUCAUCACGCCAGACGGCCUCUACGAGUUCAAGGUCAUGCCAUUCGGUCUGUGCUCGGUGCCUGCAAUGUUCCAGUGCGUGAUGGGCACGGUGUUAGCAGGGUUGAAGUGGCAUACCUGUCUUGUUUACUUGGAUGACGUCGUUGUCUUCACUGAUAAUAUCGACGAUCACCUUCGGCGGCUUGCGACAGUACUAGAGGCCAUCAAGUCAUCAGGGCUCACUCUGAAGGCAGAAAAGUGCCCCUUCACUUACAAUGAGCUUCUAUUCCUGGGCCACGUCAUCAGCAAGUCAGGUGUCCAACCUGACCUGCAGAAGAUGGCUACCAUCGCAAAGUUCCAGCAGCCCAUCGACAAGAAGGCAAUGCGUAGAUUCCUUGGCAUGUGUGACAGGCGCUUUGUCAAGGACUGACGCAUCGCUGAGCCGCUGACACAUUAACUAAAUCUGAUGUCGAGUUCAAGUGGUAAAUGCUGCAGGCUGACGCAUUUCAAGAACUCAAACGACGCAUGCAGUUGCCACCAGUACUUGCACACUUCGAUAACAACGUCGAUACAGAAAUCCACACUGACGCCAGUAGCCUAGGCCUCAGUGCCGUACUAGUCCAGAGAAAAGACGGAUUUGAACGGGUGAUAGCUUACGCUAGCCGGUCGCUGUCAAGAGUGGAAGGCAAUUAUUCUACAACCGAAAAAGAAUGCCUCGCCAUCAUUUGAGCUACAGAAAAAUUCCACCCUUACCUAUAUGGCAGGCUAUUCAAAGUCGUCAGCGACCAUCACGCAUUGUGUUCGCUAGCGAACUUAAAGGACCCCUCAGGACGCCUGGCGCAGUAGAGCCUCAUACUGCAAGAAUAUGACAUUACUGUAACGUACAAGUCCGGACAAAAACACUGAUGCCGACUGCCUAUCACGCGCCUCCAUUGACCUGCUGCCGCAAGAUGAUGAGGAUGACGACGCCUUCCUUAAAAUAAUAAGCAUGGAAGACUUUGCUGAACAGCAAUGAGCAGACCCGGAGCUAAAAAGCCUCGUCAAGUAUUUGAAAGGGCACACCGACGUUGUCCCCAGGGCUUUCAAGCGAGGAUUGUCUUCAUUUUCGCUUCAAAACACCCUAUUAGUGAAAAAGAACU